UACGUAGGUGGCGAGCGUUGUCCGGAUUUACUGGGCGUAAGGAGCGCGCAGGCGGUCGUUCAAGUCGCGUGUGAAAGCCCCCGGCUCAACUGGGGAGGGUCACGCGAUACUGAUCGACUCGAAGGCAGGAGAGGGAAGUGGAAUUCCCGGUGUAGUGGUGAAAUGCGUAGAUAUCGGGAGGAACACCAGUGGCAAAGGCGACUUCCUGGCCUGUUCUUGACGCUGAGGCGCGAAAGCUAGGGGAGCAAACGGG
rnacentral:rRNA from 1 species